rnacentral:rRNA from 1 species
CAGUCGCCGCGGGAAUACGUAGGGUGCAAGCGUUAAUCGGAAUUACUGGGCGUAGAGCGUGCGCAGGCGGUUCGUUAAGACAGAUGUGAAAUCCCCGGGCUUAACCUGGGAACUGCAUUUGUGACUGGCGGGCUAGAGUAUGGCAGAGGGGGGUAGAAUUCCACGUGUAGCAGUGAAAUGCGUAGAGAUGUGGAGGAAUACCGAUGGCGAAGGCAGCCCCCUGGGCCAAUACUGACGCUCAUGCACGAAAGCGUGGGGAGCAAACAGGAUUAGAUACCCCUGUAGUCCCUGUCUCUUAUAC